GGCUUUCGGGCUGAGUAGAGCGGCGGACGGGUGAGUAACGCGUAGGAAUCUACCUGGUAGUGGGGGACAACUUGGGGAAACUCAAGCUAAUACCGCAUACGCCCCACGGGGGAAAGCGGGGGACCUUCGGGCCUCGCGCUAUCAGAUGAGCCUGCGUAGGAUUAGCUAGUUGGUGAGGUAAAGGCUCACCAAGGCGACGAUCCUUAGCUGGUCUGAGAGGAUGAUCAGCCACACUGGGACUGAGACACGGCCCAGACUCCUACGGGAGGCAGCAGUGGGGAAUAUUGCGCAAUGGGGCAACCCUGACGCAGCCAUGCCGCGUGUGUGGAGAAGGCCUUCGGGUUGUAAAGCACUUUAAGUGGGGAGAAAAGGGUAGCGGUUAAUAGCCGUUACCUGUGAUGUUACCCACAGAAUAAGCACCGGCUAACUCCGUGCCAGCAGCCGCGGUAAUACGGAGGGUGCGAGCGUUAAUCGGAAUUACUGGGCGUAAAGCGCGCGUAGGCGGUUUGUUAAGUCAGCUGUGAAAGCCCCGGGCUCAACCUGGGAACUGCAGUUGAUACUGGCCGACUAGAGUACGAGAGAGGGAGGUAGAAUUCCAUGUGUAGCGGUGAAAUGCGUAGAUAUAUGGAGGAAUACCGGUGGCGAAGGCGGCCUCCUGGCUCGAUACUGACGCCGAGGUGCGAAAGCGUGGGGAUCAAACAGGAUUAGAUACCCUGGUAGUCCACGCCGUAAACGAUGUCUACUAGCCGUUGGGAGACUUGAUUUCUUAGUGGCGCAGCUAACGCAAUAAGUAGACCGCCUGGGGAGUACGGCCGCAAGGUUAAAACUCAAAUGAAUUGACGGGGGCCCGCACAAGCGGUGGAGCAUGUGGUUUAAUUCGAUGCAACGCGAAGAACCUUACCAGGUCUUGACAUCCUCGGAACUUUCCAGAGAUGGAUUGGUGCCUUCGGGAACCGAGAGACAGGUGCUGCAUGGCUGUCGUCAGCUCGUGUCGUGAGAUGUUGGGUUAAGUCCCGUAACGAGCGCAACCCUUGUCCUUAGUUGCCAGCACGUAAUGGUGGGAACUCUAAGGAGACUGCCGGUGACAAACCGGAGGAAGGUGGGGACGACGUCAAGUCAUCAUGGCCCUUACGACCUGGGCUACACACGUGCUACAAUGGAACGCACAGAGGGCAGCAAAAGCGCGAGCUGGAGCCAAUCCCACAAAACGUUUCGUAGUCCGGAUCGGAGUCUGCAACUCGACUCCGUGAAGUCGGAAUCGCUAGUAAUCGUGGAUCAGAAUGCCACGGUGAAUACGUUCCCGGGCCUUGUACACACCGCCCGUCACACCAUGGGAGUGGGUUGCUCCAGAAGUGGUUAGCCUAACCUUCGGGGGGGCGAUCACCACGGAGUGAUUCAUGACUGGGGUGAAGC
rnacentral:rRNA from 1 species